rnacentral:rRNA from 1 species
UACGAAGGGGGCUAGCGUUGUUCGGAUUUACUGGGCGUAAAGCGCACGUAGGCGGAUCGUUAAGUCGGGGGUGAAAUCCUGGAGCUCAACUCCAGAACUGCCUUCGAUACUGGCGAUCUCGAGUCCGGAAGAGGCGAGUGGAACUCCUGGUGUAGCGGUGGAAUGCGCAGAUAUCAGGAAGAACACCAACGGCGAAGGCAGCUCGCUGGGACGGUACUGACGCUGAGACGCGAAAGCGUGGGGAGCGAACAGG